CGGGAAGAUAUAGUACGUAAAGGGAUGAUAUGGGAAGAUAUAGAACGUAAAGGGGUGAGAUAGUAAUCUGCAUAAUUUAAAGGGGUGAUAACAGAAUACAGACAGACACAGGAUAGUCUCUGAGGUCUGAUAGUCUCCUCCAUCCCAUCCAGACACAGGGCAGAGCUGAUCAGCAGGAUGGGUCUGGUGGAUCCCGUACUUGAUGAUCUCCUGUCCAGGAAGCUUUUUACAGAUGAAUAUUAUUCCAUUGUCCGCAGUAAGGCCACCUCCCAGGACAAGAUGAGGGAGCUCUAUGGAUUUUCCAGAUCUUGGGGUGUUGGUGACAAGGAUACUUUCUACCAGAUAAUAUGGAAACACAACGAACCGCUCAUCAUUGACCUGGAACGCUCUGGCAGCUGCUAGAUUGUAAGCCUUUCUGGCAAGGUCCUGUGUAUCUUUACCUAACACCAAUCAUUUGGUCACAGUUUGCAUACAAAGCACAAGGUUCCACAUGAUACCUCAUCAUGUCCACGUUUCAAGCCACUAACCACGUGACCAGUGGCAUUCACACAACCCAUUGGUCCUCUGUGCGAAACUGAUUCAUUGGCACCCCUUACUCCCCCUUUCCCCCCCACUUCCCCCCCUCUAACAACUCCCCCGACAGACACACACACAGAGACACACACACAGAGACACACACAGACAGAAAGAUCCAUACAGACACAUACAUACACACACGACAAACAUACAUACAAACAGACAAGACACACAUACAAACAGACAGGCACACAUACAGACAGACACACACAGACACAUACACACACGCACAAGACACAUACAUACAUGAAAACAGACAGGCACACAUACAGACAGACACACACACACAAGACAUACAUACAAAGAUACAUACAAACAGAGAGGCACACAUACAUACAGACGCAUACAUACAAACAAACACACACACAUAAUAUUUAAGUCACCCUCCUGUUUCCUACUUUUUAGGUGCAGGAGGGUGACUUUCCCAGUGGUGGCUCAGGUUGAUGGGGGUCAGAGCUUCCUCCCGCGCAGCUCUCAGUGAUAGCUGGGAGGAGUGACAGGGAGUCACUUCCUCCCAGCGUGUGAUGAUCUC